rnacentral:rRNA from 1 species
UACGAAGGGGGCUAGCGUUGUUCGGAAUCACUGGGCGUAAAGGGCUCGUAGGCGGCCAACUAAGUCGGAUGUGAAAUCCCCGGGCUCAACCUGGGAACUGCAUUUGUGACUGCAUGGCUGGAGUGCGGCAGAGGGGGAUGGAAUUCCGCGUGUAGCAGUGAAAUGCGUAGAUAUGCGGAGGAACACCGAUGGCGAAGGCAAUCCCCUGGGCCUGCACUGACGCUCAUGCACGAAAGCGUGGGGAGCAAACAGG